UGAGCAAUCUGCCCUUCUCGUCGGAAUAAGCGUUGGAAACGACGUCUAAUGCCGAAUACGACCUCCUUUCGCAUGAUCGGAGGUGGAAAGCUCCGGCGGAGAAGGAUGAGCUCGCGGCCUAUCAGCUAGUUGGUGUGGGUAAUGGCCCACCAAGGCGACGACGGGUAGCCGGCCUGAGGAGGGUGACCCGGCCACACGUGGGACUGAGACACGGCCCAGACCUCCGUACGGGAGGNAGCG
rnacentral:rRNA from 1 species